rnacentral:rRNA from 1 species
UGGGGAAUAUUGCACAAUGGGCGAAAGCCUGAUGCAGCAACGCCGCGUGAGUGAUGAAGGUCUUCGGAUUGUAAAGCUCUGUCCUUUUGGACGAUAAUGACGGUACCAAAGGAGGAAGCCACGGCUAACUACGUGCCAGCAGCCGCGGUAAUACGUAGGUGGCGAGCGUUGUCCGGAUUUACUGGGCGUAAAGGGUGCGUAGGCGGAUGUUUAAGUGAGAUGUGAAAUACCCGGGCUUAACUUGGGUGCUGCAUUUCAAACUGGAUAUCUAGAGUGCAGGAGAGGAGAAUGGAAUUCCUAGUGUAGCGGUGAAAUGCGUAGAGAUUAGGAAGAACACCAGUGGCGAAGGCGAUUCUCUGGACUGUAACUGACGCUGAGGCACGAAAGCGUGGGUAGCAAACAGGAUUAGAUACCCUGGUAGUCCACGCCGUAAACGAUGAGUACUAGGUGUAGGAGGUAUCGACCCCUUCUGUGCCGCAGUAAACACAUUAAGUACUCCGCCUGGGGAAGUACCGAUCGCAAGAUUAA